rnacentral:tRNA from 1 species
UCUAAUAUGGCAGAAUAAUGUAAUGAAUUUAAGCUUCAUAAAUAAAGUAAUUUUAACUUUUAUUAGAA